CGCAUCUGUGCAUGCAUGCAUAUCAAUAAGCGGAGGAAAAGAAACUAACAAGGAUUCCCUUAGUAACGGCGAGUGAAGCGGGAAGAGCUCGAAUUUGAAGUCUUCAAGGUUUCACCUUGACGAAUUGUAGUUUAAAGAAGUGUUUUCUGUUGAAGUUAUGGUAAAAGUUCUUUGGAAUAGGACAUCAUAGAGGGUGAGAAUCCCGUAUUUGACCAUUAUUUUCAGCUGUGUGAUACACUUUCAAAGAGUCGGAUUGUUUGGGAAUGCAGUCCAAAAUGGGUGGUAAAUUUCAUCUAAAGCUAAAUAUUGGCGAGAGACCGAUAGCGAACAAGUACCGUGAGGGAAAGAUGAAAAGAACUUUGAAAAGAGAGUUAAACAGUACGUGAAAUUGUCAAAAGGGAAGCGUUUGACACCAGUGUUGUUUUCUCGAAAAUCAAUUAAAAAGAGUUAGAUUUUGUUGUGUAUUGACCUUAACAGCUUGCAUUUCAAUUUUCUUGCUUUUUUUAAUGCACUUUUCGUUUAACAAGUCAACAUCAGUUUCUUUUGUUGUAAAAAGGUCAUUGGAAGGUGGCUUUCUUUUCGGAGAAAGUGUUUAUAGCCUUUGACUCCUGCAAUCGGAGAGACUGAGGUCUGCAGCGUAGAUCCUUCGGGGUUAGAUACAUUUGUGCUAAGUUAUAGCUUUUUAUAGACAACUUGUUGACUAUGAUUAGUCUUGUAGCUUACUCGCUUAUGCUAUUUUACCUACGCUUAGGAUGUUGAUGUGAUACUGCGAGCA
rnacentral:rRNA from 1 species